CAUGCGCACUUACCGCCAACAUUUGAAAAGAAUACCGUUUGCGUUGCGUUGCAGUUUAUUGAGCUCGAUCGAGAAGUGGGACGAAGAAGGCCGUUAAUAAUUCAACUACUUAAAGAAUGCGGGUUAGAUGUGGACGACUUCGAAGACAUUUGCAGUAGGCUAAACAGAGAAAGAGAGGGAGACCCAAAACUACUUGUCCUGGCAUCACAUUUGAGGAGGAGAUGGAGUCGGUGAAUAUGACCUAGCCCGGGGGAGUUUCCAGAAGACGGCCCAGAACCACUGGCCGCCAGGAGUGGAGGUCCUUUGUUGUUGCUCUACAUGUCAGGAGGCAUCGGGCAGUAGCCCUGGUAGAAGCACCAUCUUGAUACCAUCAUUCAAACUCUCAUCAGCUGUAUCAUUAUAGGUGGACUAAAAGAACAAUAUUCAUGCAGAUAUAAUGAUGCCUUAAGUUGAAAUGGAAGGUGUCCUGAAUCUGCACCCAUUCAUCUGGUUUCGUAACUCCUUUCAUAGUGCUAUUGGAACCUGCUCCCUACCAGUAUAACAUCAAACAGAUUGGAAGAAUAAAGGCCAAUGGGAAGUGCCUUUUAUAUUUCUACUUGCCACAAAGCAGUCCAUGGUUUAGCGCAAUCUAAACUGGACUAUUGUAAUGCUCUUCGUGCUUGAAUUAGGGCGAUCUGGACUGACUGCAGAUAGUACAGAAUGCUGCAUCUAUUGUGCCAUUUGCCAUACGCCAACUUCGCUGGCUGCAAGUCAAGGAAAGGAUAUACAUGAACAUCAGUGUCCGUCUCCUGAUUUUCAAAGUCAAUGACAGAGAUCCAGAUUACAUGUAUUAUAAGGAAUCCCUUGUGCGUCAUUUUCAUUCUAGGCGCACUUGCCUUUUUAUUUUUGUGAUCAUUACGCACCUACAAAUUAGCUACUGGUGAUGCAACUUUCUCCACUACUGCUCCAAGGCCAUGGAAUUAGCUCCUUCCUCUCCUCCAGUUGUCAACAACCUUGGAUCAAUCCAAAUACAAUUUGAGAAGACCUACUAUAUUCCUGAUCUUUGCUCUGUACCUACAACAAUACUGUCACUGCCUGGUAAUUUGAAUUUUUUUAAAUCUCAUGUGCUGACUACAGUAGGAUGGCGUCUCAAUUCAUCCAAAUUAGACAAGGGAUAAUAAAGUAAUGUAUGACAUUCUAACCUCUGCAUUAUUUUGGUGAAAGAGCUCUAAGCAUAUAUGCAAGUAGCAAGCUGAUGAUGUCAUACUGACGUACAUUGUACAUGUACACGUAUCCCCAACUUAUUAUUUUGUAUAUAAAAUUGUGCAUUUAAUUUUGUUUACCAAGAAUGAAACAAAUCGGAUUGUAAACUGUAUUGAUGUGACUUACCUGUAUUGAUUAUUGCUGGAAGUUCUUUUGCUACAUGGGAUUGGAAGACAUACUUAUUACACACAUGAAGUAAAUUAUUAUUUUAUCUGGUAACAUGAGAACAAUAAAAAUGUGGGCAUGAUAUCAUAAACUUACAUGUAUCUACUUGCAUGUGUUGAUGACCAAUAUUUUUGUAAUUAUUUUUUUUUUAAUUUUAUCUGAUUUUGAUAAAAUUUUCACUAUUUUGCAUGGUAAAAAUUACUUUAUUUUAGAUUAUGUUGAGCCCGUAUCAUAUACAAGUACAACUUUAAAGAUAAAUUACCAGUUGUAGUAACAAUCUUAAAAUGAGUUCGAACAGAAUCCAAUAGAAUUACCAGCAAAAUAUAAAAGACAUGUGCCAUAAUUAAUUAUAGCUCGGGAAGAAAAUGUGUAAUUGCUGAGAAAUGAGCAAAAUAAGCAUGUAAUUCUAUCCAAUGUCAGGUAUUUUUCAAAUCAAUCAUAAUACACUGUCCUGUCCCACAUGUUCUUUUCUGUGUUAGUGAUCAUCAAAAUAAUUAAUUUUAAGUUCAAAAUUAGUGAUUUUACAAAAAUACAAGCUUACAUUAAUGUACCAGAUCUAGAGAUUAUGUACAAUAUUUUGACAAUUUCUCAUGAAAUAAUUGUUUGCUGCAACUGCUGUCUUUUUAAUACGUUUAAGUGAUAGUGUAAUACAACCACAAACUUUUCUUAAGAAUUAAUGUACAUGUAUGAUUCUUUCACCCAAAUUUACAUGCAUUGAUACUGUUGACUACUUGCCAAAAGUUCCUGCCAAAAGCCUUUUUUAACGAUGUACAUGCUUUUAUAGACGACCUGCCAAAACAUUGUAUUGUAUUAUAUUCAAGGUCCAACCAAAAAGAGAUGAAUAAAAUGUUUGAAGGAAAUUGAAAUUAACUUUUAAAAUGAUAGAGCUCUGUCAAUGCAGUAUUAUUACAGGGUUCCCACAGUCAUGGAAAAUCCUGGAAAAAAAUUGGUCAUGGAAAGUCAGGGAUAUGUGAAAAGUCAUGGAAUUGCAUUUACCUCUUGGCUAUGACAGCUUUCUAGUUUUUUAUGUCUCACAACUCUCAUACUCAGUGAUUGUACUCUACUAUUAUAAUUGGUGUUCAUGAUCAUAACAUGUCUGAUUUUGUAAACUGUGCCAGAAAGGAAUUAAGUCAUGGAAAGCAGCAAUUUAGUCAUGGAGAGGUCAUGGAAUUCUGUUUUCAAAUUUCUGUGGGAACCAUGAAUAGGUUUGUGCACUUGACACAGUGUGCACUACAGAUGAACUUUGUAAUGCCAUGAUAUAAACCAGUACAAUAUCUUAAAGGAAAAUAAAACCCAAAAUAUAAUACCACAUGAUACCAUUGAUAAAUACAGGACAAUGAAAAUGAAUCCACUCAUAUACCCCCAAUCCGAUGUCCCAGUAUGGAGUACCACCUUUUCAAAGUUGGCAUCUUCUGGUACAAAGUCUAUGGAUGGGGAUUAUUCCGUCAGCGAUGAACUACAUCUCUAAACGUUUGGGCAUUAUUCUAUUUCAUCGAUAAUAAAUCAAAUGUACAGAUAAAACUCAUAAAAUAUUAAUUAAAAUUUGUUUAAUAUUAUAUGAUAGGUUCAAAUUACGACUUGAUGAGUUUUAAUGAUAAAAAUUACACCCUAAUCUACGAUUUACAAAUUGGCAGCGGAAAUUGGGGUGUAAAUCUUAUCAUUAAAACUCAUCAAAUUGUAUUUUGAACCUACCAUAUAUUAAACAAAUUUUAACUAAUAUUUUUAUGAGUUUUAUCUGUACAUUUGAUUUGUUAUUGAUAAAAUAGAAUAUAUAAUGCCUGAACGUUUAGAGAUGUAGUUCGUCGCUGAUGUAAUAAUUUCCUAACUAACCCCGCGAAAAUGGCGACCUCCAUCCAGAAACUUCGAACCAUACUGUAAGAGGCCAACUUUGAAAAGGUGGUACUCCGUAAUUGGAUUAGGGUAUGAGUGGAUUCAUGUUGAUUGUCCUGUAUUUAUCAAUAAUAUCAUGUGGUAUUAUGUUUUGGGUGUUAUUUUCCUUUAAUUCAGAUAUUACAUGCCAGGGUAUUGUCCUAGUUUUCAUUUUCUCCAAAUACAUAUUAUCAUCUCUCGUCUAUUUCUACUUGCCCUUCAGCCUUGAAGUAAACUUGGGAUAAUUAUGCAUUUUGUUAUACGCAAUUUUGAGUACAGUGCACUUUGCCGCAGCUACUUAUAUGAUAUUACCUAUUGUAGACACAUCCUUAUGUUUUGUUCAUUUUCUUAAAAACGAUUAAGAGUUUAAUCAUUUUUGUCUUUAAGCAUAAAACAAAGAGUAAAUCAGUCCAUUCUGUAUGUGUGACCUGCAAAAAAACUACAAUGGUCGUUAAUUUGGUUUGCUGAAAAGCCAGAUAACCUUUGAGGUAACUUUUUAAAGUAUUUAGAAGAAAUGUAUCUUUUUUAAAAGUAUUUAUAUGCACUGUAACUAAUUUCUUUGAUAGUUACUAUUAUGUUACACUGUUUGUACAGUAAAGCAGCUGUUACACAAUUUUUGUCAAUAGCAAAUCUAAACCAGUAUUGUAAAUUGAUGACUCUAUGAGCUAAAUACCAGUACUUUCUAUAUCACUUGUAAAAUCAUUUGUUGUCUGUUCAUUGAAGGUGUUGUAUUUUCUUAAUCUUAUAAAAGUACAUAGGGUCAUGAACACAUUCUACUGCUACCAAAAUCAUACCCAUGAUCUGUGAUGUAUCUAACCAGUUACCACACACAUUGCAACACACCAGUUGCAACAUACAUUAUCAUGCAUCAGUUAUCACACAUCUAGUUACCACACACAUUUUGGGUAAUGACUCUGAUGCAUGGUAUUAUGUGUAUUAUGUACAAUAUGUGUGGUAACUGGUUAGUGUUUAACUAAUUUCUUUGAUAGUUACUAUUAUGUUACACUGUUUGUACAGUAAAGCAGCUGUUACACAAUUUUUGUCAAUAGCAAAUCUAAACCAGUAUUGUAAAUUGAUGACUCUAUGAGCUAAAUACCAGUACUUUCUAUAUCACUUGUAAAA